UGAGAAGCGCUGUUCUAAGUAUUUCUUUUAGCAGCCUCUGUCCCUCUGGCUGAGCCCUUGCCCAGAGUGGAGAGUGUUUCUGUCCACUCCGUAGCUCUUGAGCAGAAGGCGGUGGGGCUGUAUCAGAAGGGAGUAUCUGCUGCUGGCCUCAGUCUCCUUGAAAUCAUGUCUGCAUCCCACUCUUCCCGUGCUCUUCCCCUCCCCAGCCUACCCCCACUGUGUACUACUACUGCUGGUGAUGUCAGUCCUUGUGUGAGGUGAAUUCUCACCACUUCUUUAACCAUGAAGACAGCACUGUUUCUUCUUCAUUUCCUUCACCUAAGUUACCUUUGUGCCCAAUACAACUUUUUUACACCCUCAAAAAUGUCACCUCCUCAUGAGAGUUGACACAGUCACUAGUACUCUGAUAAUUUAAGAAAUUGAGACAGCAAAAGUAUUCAACAAAGGUAAUUCUUCCAUGUUUGCCAAAAUCUGAAUAAAUCCUAGUCAGAUAAAUGUAUAAUACUGUAUUAAUUUACAUUUUCUGUACCAUUUCAGAAACACUUUACAUAAACAGGGAGCCAAGGCUAGUUUUUUCAGAGCAGUGAGUGCAGUCAUUGUGUUUUCUGUGACAUCUGUGCCAGCAUGCCUGUAGAUUUUCUCUCCUGAAUUGUCACUAGGUCAGCCGGCAGCUGUGGGGUUAAACUUGUGCGCCCUCUGCUGGCUGUAGUGGAGAAAGCAGCAGAAAUGAGACGCAGCUCUGUGUGGAGGCUGGUACCCAUUGCAUCCCGAGCUAAAGUGUUAAUGUGUGCAGUGUGGGAGUUGGGGGUGACUCUCGUAAUAGGUGACUAGGAAAGGUUUGGGCUCAUCUAGUCCUUCCAAAGUACAGAUGUCUUGAUCUCUCUAGAGGCUCACUUUGUCGGGGUGGUCCGGGUAGAAGCAGCUUCUGUCACCUUGCUCCGUGCAGUGGUCAGACACUUGUUGUGCUGGCCAGAGCCUCUUGUUCAGCAGUGCCUUGCCAACUCACUCGAAGUUGGGCUAGAAUAUCAUGUUGGGUAGGGCCUUGGACUCUGGCAAGGAGUGAACCAUCAAACGUCCAAAUCUGCCUUCCUCUCUGGGCCUCAGUAGUAGUGAGCUUUCCAUGCCUGGAGCUGCUGCCUGGGGACUGAGUCCCUUCCCUGCUCUGCAGGCUCAGAUAGCCAUAUGACUCUUAAUAGGGCUCAGAUGCAGGAGAGGCAGCAGGAACCAGCAGAGCCUCCAUCUAGUGGGGGAGAGGUCGCUCAUGCAGCAGGCAGUGCCCCGAAAGCAGCCACCUUGAUCGCUUCACAACACGUUUCAGUUCUGUUUUCUUCCUCCUAACUCCCUCUGGAGGUGUGGAUGCCUUAAUGUGCAAACACACUUGAACACAUUGGUGAUACUUGAGCUGCUGCCACGAUUACAAGUGGAAUUAUGGGCUACCAAAGAAGCAAUUGAUGAAAAAGCAUGGGCUAUCCUUCCUCAUGACCAAAGCAAUCUUAUUUGGGAUUAGAGUUCCUUUCCCCCAGAAUCUAGAUGCAUCCCCCCUCCCCAGUUCCCAGUGUUGUCAGUCUCCGAGUCAGCAGGGCAGUGAUGUCCGUUUGAUUCCGCUUUCCUGUGUGUGCUAUUGCCAGCUUGGUUCUUACAGGCAGACUUUCUGGCCUGAAAAUGCCAACGGUUGGAAUGGCACUACCCACUGAGCCAAGUCAACCUGUUCUGGGGAUCUGGGUCAUUAGAAGAAAGGGAGGGUCUGUUCUUUUAGAAAGGGGAAAAUAGAUUUGUUUAAAUCAGUCUGUCACCACUGGCUGGUUUUAUUUUUCAAGAAUUAGAGCUAGGAGGAACAUAGCAGUGACAGAGCGUGUUAAGCCUUGACCCUCAUGCUAGUGAGGUUCUGAACAUGGGACUGUAUGUCAAUAGCACAAGCCUCUAAAACACCCUUACCUUUUGGGCCAGAGCCCCAGACUACUGGGGCUCACACAGUCAUCGGGCAAGAGUCCUGGAGGCAGACUUGUGUUCAGUGCAGAGUGGGACGCACCCCUGAAGAGCACUGGCUGAGAUACUACACAACUCAGCCUUUUUAACUCGAGACAUCGAAGUUCAGCUCGGGAGAGCUGAGGGUGGGGGCUGGUGGGAAAGGACUGGCAGACAGUAGGACUUCCUUACAUGUGCUCAGCCCUCACAGAGCCAAGCACAGAGACUGGCUUUGCUCUGUCUGCCGUGUCUUCCCGAAAACUGGGACUCUAAUGGUAACACCAUGAUUCCCCUGGUUUGGUGGCCUAAACGGUGAUUUUAAAUGUCUCCUUUUCUGGAUUCUUUGUAUACAUAAACUCAUUCCAUGGAUGGCUGCCUUAUAAUUUUGUGUCUUUCCACUUUAAUUGUGAAUGGUUUAAAAAUUGCUGUUUCCGAUUUGUUUUAUGAUAUUAAAUUUUUAUUAGUGCAUACCUU
rnacentral:lncRNA from 1 species